rnacentral:ncRNA from 1 species
AAAAAUCUAACGAUGGGAAAGAGUAACGGGCGUGACCGCUCCAGAGAGCCGGCGGUUGGUGCGAGCCGGUGUUGGGACCGCUUGUGAAAAUCCUCCCUGAAGAGAAGUGCUGAAGCUUUGGCGGUAAGUGCUGACGGCCGUUCCCCGUUAUAGGAAACGCGUAUGUUGGUACGUUUGAGAGCGUCUGGAUCUCGUAAGAGGCCAGGAAUCAGGGUGGUAACGCGGACUUUUGAAUCCGUCCCUUAA